ensembl:misc_RNA 7SK 7SK RNA
GGAUGUGAGGGCGACCUGGCUGCAACAUCUGGCACCCCACUGACUUGGCUGGCUAGGUGGGUGUCCCCGUCCUCCCUCACCCCACCACGUGUCCCUCCUGAAGCUAUGCUCUUGCUCUCAGUUGGUUGAAGAGGGGAUGACCACCCCCGAAAUAGGAGCAUUUCCUUGGUCAAGGACACAGGAGCAGCUGCACUCCCCCGCUAGAACCUUCAAACAAGCACUCAAGAUAGUAACAUACAGCAAAAGGACAGGUAUACAUAUUAAUGGAAUAGAGUCCAGAGCUACAUCAAUAUCUGUGUGACUAACUGAUUUAU